UUGACUGCGUCAUUAAAGACGCUCACACGUCCCGAUGAACUUGGGGAGCAAGGAACAAGGAACAAAUCUUGAUUUGCUCCUGAGGGGUUGACGCGGCGUCCUUAAGGCGUCCUGAUGGAAUCCUGAUGGUGUCCCGAUGACGUCCUGAUGGCGUCCUGUUGGUCUGCAGACAAGGAGAAGAGACGUGAGGAGGAUCAUCAGGAUGUGUCUGUGUGUACAUCUAAUUGUUAGUGUGUCUGUGUGUACAUCUAAUUGUUAGUGUGUCCGUGUGUACAUCUAAUUGUUAGUCUGUCUGUGUGUAGAUCUAAUUGUUAGUGUGUCUGUGUGUACAUCUAAUUGUUAUUGUGUCUUUGUGUACAUCUAAAUAUUAGUGUGUGUCUUUGUUUAGAACCAAAUGUUAGUGUGUCUGUGUGUACAUCUAAAUAUGAAUGUGUCUUUGUGUACAUUUAAAUGUUAAUGUGUGUCUUUGUUUAGAACCAAAUGUUAGUGUGUCUGUGUGUACAUCUAAUUGUUAGUGUGUCUGUGUGUACAUCUAAAUAUGAAUGUGUCUUUGUGUUCAUUUAAAUGUUAAUGUGUGUCUUUGUUUAGAACCAAAUGUUAGUGUGUCUGUGUGUACAUCUAAUUGUUAGUGUGUCUGUG
ensembl:lncRNA